UACGGAGGGGGCUAGCGUUGUUCGGAAUUACUGGGCGUAAAGCGCACGUAGGCGGCUUUGUAAGUUAGAGGUGAAAGCCCGGGGCUCAACCCCGGAAUUGCCUCUAAGACUGCAUCGCUUGAAUUGUGGAGAGGUAAGUGGAAUUCCGAGUGUAGAGGUGAAAUUCGUAGAUAUUCGGAAGAACACCAGUGGCGAAGGCGACUUACUGGACACAUAUUGACGCUGAGGUGCGAAAGCGUGGGGAGCAAACAGG
rnacentral:rRNA from 1 species